UCGGUACCAUUCAAUAUUUUGUCUUUCUCACCACGUUUACACUCACCCUGCCCGUUUUGUCCAGCUGCUUCUUUUUAUUCCGCUUCUUCUGCUCAUCUCCCUUUAGCAAGAGCAUCGUAGCCGUCCCAGAUACCCCCUUGUUAGGGCCUCCUCCUCCUCCUCCUGUCAAGCCCUGUGUCAUCGCCAAUUCUUCCUCGUCCUCUUCGUCGUCCUCCUCCUCGCCCAUCUCGGUUGUUCUCCUGAGGCGCUUUCUGCGAGCAUCUCCUGCUCGAGCGUAGGCCGCGGCCCACAGAAGCGCCAACAGGAGCACUAGCGCCAAGACGGACGUACAGAGCAGCAGUAACCAGGUGGGCAGGCGCUGCGGUUCCAGGCCUGGCGGUAGCUCCAGACCCAACUCGGUGCGAAGCAGGCCCACGCCGGCCGACAGCACAUCCCGCAGCCUGGCGGACACCAUCUCGGCCUGCUGGGCUACAGCCUCUUGCCAGGUCGGCGCAGCCAUGGCUCCCUCGAGCGGGGGCCGAGACCGAGCAGAAACUCACGUCACGCCGAGCGCAUCUCUCGCCCGACAAGAAGCCAAAAGGCCGCUCUACUCGGCUCCCAGCCAACGGGACGAAAAGCAGCGGUUGGUGCCGCUGAGCGACUUUGAUUCGGCUCGGAUAAGGGUCUCCUCAGCCUCUCGCGGCCCAACAGCGCAACGUCACCCCUCCGCAGCGUUCUAGCAAGCGGACGCGUGCGUGGGGGGGGCGCACGGGAUGACGGAAAAGGUCACGUGCAGCUGAAGGAGCCGUUGGUUGGGAGGCGCUGGCUGCGCCUGCGCGUAUGCGCGCUCCGGCCUCCUCCUAUUUCACUGACGGCAGUUCCAUCUCCCGUCUUCCUAUCUUCCUGACUAUGUUAGUCGGCGCAAAAGCGAAGGCUCGUAGGGUACACGUCAUUCCUAUCGUGGGAUUGAGGAGGGACGGGAAGUGUAAGUAGCAAUCUCGACGUGGCAGUGAUUUCCUCGCCGAGGGAGCGGUGGGGUGGUUGAAGGGGAGGAGCUACUGCCCUCGACCACGUCGCUCACUCAGACCUUUGACACAGAUCCUUUGGAGAAAAGUGGAAGAGGAGAAGAGCGUGGAAAUUUCUUUUUGAAACAUUUUAAUAAUAAAACAAAGCUUAGAAAGACUGCCAUAAACAUUCCAGUAGUGAUUCCAGGCAGUGCCAAUCCAGCCAGCUGCUAUUUGUCCCACAGCUGUGAGUAGCAGCAAAUAAAGAAUCGGAGGGCAGGACCCAAAACAAAAGGUUCAUAUUGGAAGAAUGACAAUUGUUGACUAAAGAAUAGGAAAAACUUCCUGACGAUUCAUGUGGUUCGAUAGCAGAUCGGCCUGGGAAGGUGGUAAACUCUUCUUCAGAUGGAUGCUGUAGCUGUGGAUUUCCUUCAUUCACAGAGGACUUGUGGGAUCCCUUCCAAUGCUAUGAUUUUGUGAGCCUUUCAUGGUUUGACAUGGGAAAUCUUAGUAACGUAUAAAAAUGGUGGUUACUUAUUGAGCUAAUGGGACACUGCUUGUUUCCUCUAGCGCAAUUCUACUGUAUUGCAUAUGUAGCACAGAAACAAAAAAUCUAGUAUCUGCUAUUCUAUCAGGCCCAUGGAGAGUUGUGAAGCCAGACCACUCCACCAGCUUAACUGUGCCGAGCAACUUUUGGCUCCUCUUUCCUUGACUUUUGGCUCCUCUUUCCUCAACUUUUGGCUCCUCUUUCCUCGACUUUUGGCUCCUCUUUCCUCGACUUUUGGCUCCUCUUUCCUCGACUUUUGGCUCCUCUUUCCUCGACUUUUGGCUCCUCUUUCCUCGACUUUUGGCUCCUCUUUCCUCGACUUUUGGCUCCUCUUUCCUCGACUUUUGGCUCCUCUUUCCUCGACUUUUGGCUCCUCUUUCCUCGACUUUUGGCUCCUCUUUCCUCGACUUUUGGCUCCUCUUUCCUCGACUUUUGGCUCCUCUUUCCUCUAACUCUUUCCCUUCCACCUGUUUGAAUUGUGUAACUAAGAACUAGUGCUUCAUUUUACUUUUUUCUUCCUCCCUCCCAGUCCCUUUUCCUUGUUGUCCUAUUCUUUAAGAUUGUAAACCUUAAGGCAGGAACUGUUACUGAUCUUGGUAUGCUGUGCUGGGAGACAUUGUUUGGCUGAAGAGCAGUGCAAACUGUUUUAAAUGGGGGUGACUAACCACUGGCCUGGGUGCCUUAUCAGGCCUCCCAAGUAAAUUUUACUGGCCCCUCAAGACCCCACUGAUUUUGGCAGUAAUAAAAAUUAGAUACCCAGCAUCCUGAUUGGUAUGCAAAUCUCCCCCUUUGGGCCAUAACAUGAUCAUUUGAUGAGCAGGGAGCACUCAAUAACUCCCUCCUUGGCUGAUCUGCAUGGAUCAGCUGUGGAGCAGGACUGUGUGGUUGCAUGAGAGUAUGCACCUGUGAAAGAGUGUAGGGGUAGGCACACACAAUUUUGGCCAUACCCUACCCAGAGGGUUAGCCAAGGCAUAUGUAGUCUUCAAGCCCAAAUAGGUUAGCUACCCUGGUUGAAAGAAAGAAAUUUCUUUUGCAGAACCAUUUUACUCAAAAUAUUCCUAACAACAAAAACAUUCUCCAAACCCUGAUCUUUACAUAGCAGAAAUAGUACCAGCCACACACAAGAUACCAACAAGCCAAGGUUUGCAGAAGUACAACAACAUUCUUGGUUAAAACAACACUAACUUAUGGGGGGAACGCUCUGAAACAACCCAGAGAGAUGCCCAGUAGCUAUGGAACAUUAAGUAUCCUUUUUUGAGGAGAGAGAACAAAGCCAGGGUAGGGGACAUAAAAUGGAGUGCCUUGGAAAGGGGCAUGGCUAGCUGGAACCCUGAAAGAGAGCACUCUGUAAUGCUACAUUCUGUGGCUGGUCCGACUUGUUAUACAUAUAUGCUAGGUCAGUGAUUCCCAAUCUGGGGAUCAUGAAGUCAUCCCAGGGGGGUUGAAAAGAACUAAGAGAAGAAUUAUUAAUUUAAAAAAAUAAUUAAUGGCUGGUCUUUGCACCUCCGAUUUGUGAAUCUGCAUUGCAUGUGCACGCAGUUGCUUCCGCCUCCCCUUCCUUCCGGCUGGCACAGUCAGUUCCCGCCACACAGAGAGCUGAGCAGUACAACAGUCGAAUGAGUGCAUCAAGGGAAGGGGCCAGCUGGCCUUACUUAAUAUCCGGUGCCUCUCCCCAGCUCUUUUGUCAAUGGCAGUGGGGGAAGAUUGAUCAAGUUGAUUGGCUCUGGGAGUCCUGGAGCGUCCCCCCAUAAAUACACACCUGGGCACUCAUUAAAAAUUCACUGUACGGUUAACUUAUAGUACAAUAUACAUGUCUACUCAGAAGUAAGUCUCUUCAUAUGGGGCUUACUCCCAGGUAAAUCAAAUUGUAGUAAUCAUACCACACUAAGAUUCUGUUGAAACUCUGAAGCUGGACUAUUUUGGUGUGGAGGGGGAUGGGGCUUUCUAGUACAAAGAAGAAAGGAAGCUAUAGGAAAUAAAAAUUUAUGUCUAUAACAUAAGGACUUAGGCUGCAAUCCUAAUCAGGUCUACUCAGAAGUAAGUCCUAUAGAAUUCAGUGGAGCAACAGCCAUAUGCGGUAGGUUAUGCUGAGUUAGUGGCUGACCUAAGGCAGUAAGUAAGCAAAAAAAUAUGGGUAAAGUAAGUUUUAAAAAUGUGAAAUUACAUAUGUUCAGUGUAUUUUUGUUGCUAUUAAGGCUUUGAGUGUGUUUCUACAUAGCUGUAUAUAUUCAUUUUAAAAUACUUUAAAAUAUGUUAAGUUGCCCAAAUUUUGUUGUUUAGGGUUGGCACUGGGGAAGAGCAGUGCUCUUGUGUCUUUAACAGCAGUGUGGCAGACAGAAAGUAAACAGAAAUUAAAUUAAGCCUUUUCUAGUAAGGAAAUACAAUUUAUGGGGAAAGCUUCACCUGUUAACAUUCUGUCUGUCAGACAUUAUUACUGUCAUAUGGUGCUUCCUCAGCCUAGUGCUGAAGAGGAGGCAUUGUUGUGAACAGAUGGAACACUUAAAGAGUCCGAAUGCCCUGGCAUCAACCAGGCUCUGUUCACCACUCUGGGUGGUUUACCUUUAUCUUCUUUUCAUUUCCUUCAAAAUUUGUUAAAAGUUGUUUAUAUUGCUGUAACCUGCCCUGGGACUGUCUGGUGAAGGACAGAUAAUAAAUAUCAACAUAAUCAUA